UACGUAGGGGGCAAGCGUUGUCCGGAAAUACUGGGCGUAAAGCGCACGUAGGCGGCGCAGCAAGUCGGGAGUGAAAGCCCGGGGCUCAACCCCGGAGGGUCUCUCGAAACUGCCGAGCUAGAGUGCGGAAGAGGCAAUCGGAAUUCCCAGUGUAGCGGUGAAAUGCGUAGAUAUUGGGAAGAACACCGGAGGCGAAGGCGGAUUGCUGGGCCGACACUGACGCUGAGGCGCGAAAGCCAGGGGAGCAAACGGG
rnacentral:rRNA from 1 species